GAGGUCACGCACAGAGCUGAUCCGGAAGAAGAUUUUAACCACGUUGUUUUGUUUUUGUCAGCGCGAGCUGGCUAACAUUUCGCUUUGAAUUCCCUAACUAAUUGUUCUUCAGCCAUUGGGAAGUAAUUUGCUAAUUGUAAGUGCAAUAAAGAUUUUCCAUCCUGUUUCGAAGUCAAAUAUAUAAAAAGGUGGGUGGCUAAAUAGUUGUUCUAGCCCAGCCUUCCUCACUAGUAAGUCAUCUAUGGUAGCUAGUUUAGCUAGCUAACAGUUGAUUGCAGAUGUUCCAGAUACAUUUUAUCUCCAUAUCCAUAUCUCCAAUACUUUUUAUUUCGUCUCUCAUUAUUUCCCCACUGAAAGAUAUUGUAGCGAACGGAGGCAAACUCGGGUCGCAGGAGUAAAAGGCAAACACCCAACGCAUCGCGCCAUUUAAACUGGGUUAACCCACUUGUUGGGUAUAAUAAUGUAUAUUAUAGACUGGUUGGUUUGAGCCCUGAAUGCUGAUUGCUUGACAGCCGUGGUAUAUCAGACGGGCUGUUGGUGGGAGAUGAUCGUGUGAAGAAUGGUCUCAACCUCAUGUAUGAAGCUCCACCUGGGGCAGACAAAGGAAGGAGAAUCAGAAUACAAGUUUGAGUGGCAAAAGACGUCCCCUCGAGGGAAGUAAGUAACUAAUUGUGUUGAUCAACAUAAAUAUUCAGAUGACUUGAAGCCUACUAUUAGAGGUUACCUUUGCUUUUGGGGAUACUUUCAUCUUUUUAGGUAUGCCAAGGAUGUCAUGGCUCGUAAACUUUUGGGUAAAUUAAUAUUGUGCAGUUUUCCCAUUUGUGUUGAAUUAACUUAUGACAUACCUAUUUAUGACAAUCUACUGUUACAUGUGAUUGCUAGGCUAAAUAUUGUCCUAUUAACAAAAUAAAUGUGUUGGCAUUUGACACUUGGUGGUGCUAAAGUCAAAGGAUGAUAUCUAACUCGGGAUAACGAUGUGUUUAUUUACAUUAUGGCAGGUGUAGUAUAUGUGCUUUGCUUGUCGUCGUCGCAAUUGGGUUGUAUGGAAGGUGUUAUAAGUGAUGGAAUGAAUGGAUUUAAGUCCAGUCUAAUGACCUGUGAUUCUCCUGUGCGCAAUGUGAACUGCAUCGUGUGUCACAAAUAGGGCCAUAUGAAUGCAGACAGUGUACCCUCUCUUUGGCCUGUAGGGGAUCAAUGCCAGCGCUGCGCCCACAGAGAAAGCAGGUACCAAUAACAAUCUGACCUACCUGGAUGAAUAGAGGAAAAGAGUUGACUGGUAAUUCCAAAUAAUAGUUCACAGAUGUAGCUAAUGGUUUAUUUUAAACUAAAUGUUAUCAAGGUUUUUUUCUUCAUAUUUUCAUUCUCAACAAUAAAAUCCUCCUUUUUAUUUUUGCACUGACUUUGAAAGCAUUUGAACAAAGAACUUAUGAUGCAGACAAAUUGCAAUAAUAAUGUGUCCCAAUAGAAUGGGCAUUCAGUAUUACAUUGGAUAUUUGUGGUAACUCUAUACUUGUAGCAGUAGUUGCCAUCACUCCUGGUGUCCUGUAGAACUUCCAGAGUGGAGCUGGUUCUGACUCCUACAAUCAGGAAGUGAAGUAGUAAAGUAAUGUUUACAGAGGGAGAGUCCUGCGCAUGGAGUUGAUGGUGGAGGGCGAUAAUGGAGCCCCUCCUGUGCUGGGAGAAAAAUGCAUUUAUUGUGUAUUCUGAUUCCCCUAACCACUGCUUUGGGAGAAUGAUAUUAUAUGAUUUGCUCAGCCUGAAGAUGAGUGAGUUGAUUUGGUGUCCCUUUCUGUUAACAAAGCCGGCCCUGAAUUCCCCACUGCGGAAGCAGUGGCGGAUGUGGACAGGCGUCAAUGGGACUUUGAGGCUGUGAUUUGUGUUAACAGGUCCGUCGAUGCACCCCUCCGAGUUAAUGGCAGAGAUGCGAAACAGUGGGUUUGCCCUGAAGAAAUGUGUCCUUGGAAGAAAUUCUUCUGUUUGUGAUCCAUCGCAGGAGUAUGUUGUCAAUGAAGAAGAGGAGGAUCCUGAGGUUGAAUUCCUGAAGUCGUUGACCACUAAACAGAAAGAGAAGCUCCUCAGGAAACUUGAGGGUCUACAAAAGAAGAGUGAAGGACCGUGAUAGUAGUGACAGCUCCAGUGAAAGUAGUAGCAGUGACUGACUGACAGCUCCAGUGAAAGUAGUAGCAGUGACUGACUGACAGCUCCAGUGAAAGUAGUAGCAGUGACUGACUGACAGCUCCAGUGAAAGUAGUAGCAGUGACU